rnacentral:piRNA from 1 species
UCGUUUAGGUCUUGCUCUCAACU